rnacentral:tRNA from 1 species
GUUCUUAUAGUUUAUAUAAAAUAUUACACUGAAAAUGUAAUGAAAAGUUUUUUUAAGAAUA